UUCAAUGAUUUUUUACAUUUCUUACAUGGCAGAUACAUCAAUCGUCAUUGUUCAAUGAACUAAUUUAACUCUUGCUUCUCCACCUUCCCUCCCAAAUCGUUUGUGCUUCCACACACAUAUACAAGAGGGAGUCUCUACCUCUCUUCGUUUUCAAUUUGACCAAGAUUAGGUUUAGUUCUUCCCCCAAAUACACAAACAAUCACUCAAUCAAAAACAAGAUUAUCAUGUAAAACACCAAUUUCUGUCGGUAGAUUCCUCUUAAUCGAUGCAAUUUCGCUUUUUUUGUGGCCCAUUAACAUUUUAGGGUUUCCCGCACACUUAACAUAUUGAAAAGAACACACACAUAGCUUCUAAGGGGCAUGAGGUUUGGAAUUGGUGAAUUUUCGUGAAUUCAGGUGUGGAGGGUAAGUGAGAAUUGAGAAGAUGACGGAUGCGUGUUCGGAAUACGAGAGGGAUGGUGAUUUUGAGAGGGGGUUGGAGGAGUUUUGCCAAUUAUUAGGUUUGAGUUUUGCUCUUCUAUUCCAGCUGAUCAUAUUUAAAGGAGGGUAAGAUCUGAUUUGGUUAUUACAUCAUUGUCGUCACCGGGGAGAGCUGAUUUGGAGAAUAAGCGUUGUUUUGGUGACAUAAGAAGGUUCAAUGGUUUAUAGAUUUAGGGAUUAUGCCUUACCUUCUUCUACAGUAGAUGAUUUUUGACGUGUAACCACCAAUUCCAGCAGAAGAAAAUUAUGCCACAUGGAAUAUGUUGAUAAAUCCAUGGAAGGAAGGCCGUUUGUACUACCGUAUCGAGGAAUGAUGUACUACUGAAAAGCUCUAAUGCUUCAAGCUUAUUUGGAAAGAAUGACUCUUGGAGGUUUUAGUUUUCUCCUUUCGAGGAUGGUUUUAUUAUUGCUAGGUGUAAGCCUAAAAAACAUAAUCACCCACGGCAACGCACGGACAUUCCCAUUGGAGGUUGUCCAAAACUUACUAAGCUCAACAUCUGUGGCUGCUUGGCUUUUAGUGACGAUGGUCUCAAGUUCCGUAGUAAUUACUAUAUAAAGUUGAAAACUUUCAACCUUUGUGGGUGUGUGAAAGCAGACACGGAUAAGGCUCUGAAGUUAUGGUAGAAUUACAAAUGUAUAUGUGGGAUGUAUUUGAUAUUUGGGGUCGUACUUAUAAACCGUCUUUGAGUUGUGUUUGUAGGCUAAUGGAUACAACUGUCGACAACAACUUGACUUUACCUUAUGGUUAUCCUAAUCUCUAUGCUAUUUACUUGUG